GACGAACGCUGGCGGCGUGCUUAACACAUGCAAGUCGAACGGAAAGGCUCCAGCUUGCUGGAGUACUCGAGGGGCGAACGGGUGAGUAACACGUGGGUAAUCUGCCCUGCACUCUGGGAUAAGCCUGGGAAACUGGGUCUAAUACUGGAUAUGACCUUUCUCCUUAUGGGGUUUGGUGGAAAGUUUUUCGGUGUAGGAUGAGCCCGCGGCCUAUCAGCUUGUUGGUGGGGUGAUGGCCUACCAAGGCGACGACGGGUAGCCGGCCUGAGAGGGUGAUCGGCCACAUUGGGACUGAGAUACGGCCCAGACUCCUACGGGAGGCAGCAGUGGGGAAUAUUGCACAAUGGGCGGAAGCCUGAUGCAGCGACGCCGCGUGAGGGAUGACGGCCUUCGAGUUGUAAACCUCUUUCAGCAGGGACGAAGCGUAAGUGACGGUACCUGCAGAAGAAGCACCGGCUAACUACGUG
rnacentral:rRNA from 1 species